rnacentral:rRNA from 1 species
GACGAACCGUGCGAACGUUGUUCGGAAUCACUGGGCUUAAAGGGCGCGUAGGCGGGCCGGCAAGUCAGGGGUGAAAGCCCGCGGCUCAACCGCGGAAGCGCCUUUGAUACUGUUGGUCUUGAGGGGGGUAGGGGCGUGCGGAACUUCCGGUGGAGCGGUGAAAUGCGUAGAGAUCGGAAGGAACACCGGUGGCGAAGGCGGCGCGCUGGACCCCUUCUGACGAUGAGGCGCGAAAGACAGGGGAGCGAACGGG